GAAACAACUUUAAUGGACAGCUUCCACCUUCUUGUCAUAUUCCUCAGUCUUUCUAGAGAUGUCAGCUGAUAGUUCAGGCAUCUCUUUCUAAUUUCUCCUCCCUUAUUUGUUUUUCACUUCCAGAGAUGAGCUAGUAGUUGGGAGGAAAAAAAAAAUUGGUCAUAAGGCAGGGCAGGAGGAGGCAGAGAGAAGACACAGUCACAUACACAAAAAGAAUUAGCCUUUAACAUGCACCAGAGGUUAAUAUUUGCCACUUGGCUUUCACAUAUGGAUAUUAAAAACAAGUUUAGUGACACCUGAAAGUUCUUUGGGUAAACUAAGAUAAUACUUUGUUUGUUUUGUUUUGUAAGACUUUACAGUUGUUAGCUAAACACAGAUAUCACAACAAGCAAUUAUACAUUUUCUGCCACAAGAAUCAUUAGAUCCUAGUGCUAUCAGGACAGGCAAGAGUCUCUGAGACACUGCUAUUUAUUUAGAGUUAAAGAAUACAAAUAAAAAAGGUGGCAUUAAAGAAAGUACUGGGCCUUCAGAUCAACAGAAAAUCGACUUUUUGGUUUCUGAGCUUAUUCGUUUACAGAACACAUCAAAUAAUAUCAAGACUUAGCACUUAGGGCUGCCUACCUUCGUACUAUACCCUUAGCUCAAUCCAGGCAAACAUUCACAUUAGCAUUUUGUGUAGGUCGGACUGAAGAAUAAUAUUCUAUCUUCUACUAAGGCGCUGGCAUUUUGGCUGUCCUGCAUGGGUUUCUACAGUGAACAGCAAGCUCUGAUCCCAUAGCAAGCACUGCGCCUCAGAGUCAACAAAGUCCAGUCACUAGAGAACACAGCUGAAUUGAAUCAGCCAAGUCCUCUGCUGCACCACCUGUAGACCUGGUUCCCCUCACCCUUCCCUCAGCCGAUUUGAGGGGAGCAGCUGAGUACUGGGACAGUGGGUUCUGAGUUCAUUCUCAGGUUUCUUAGGGAAGUAAGCUAAGUGUGAAGUUGUUUGCUAUCUUAACUUCUAAGGACUGCCCAAAGGAGGGUUUAUGUGACUUAUUCAUAAGCCAAGUGACUUUUCCCCAAGUGACUCUCAAGUCAGUUUUCCCAUCCACAAAAGAAGAAGGCCGAUUCUUGCUAUUAUCAUCAGAUACCAGAGCCCUCUUAGCACAUGGGUGCGUGAGCUCCUCUGUUGAAUAUUGCAAACAGAUCUUACCAGCGUCACUAGGAGGCAACUGAAGAAGUUCCCUGUCUAUUCCCCACUCCACAGCAACCGGAGAUCUGCAUAUCCCUGCCAGGAGCACAUAGAUACACUGCUAGCCUCACCCAUGGUAGCCUACCGGAGCCAACACUAUUUAAAGACAGCAGUGGAAUUCUUACUUGACCUUCUGGCUCAGUGAGAGAUCGUAGGACGAGCCUUCCUCCGCUGAGUUGAAUUGGGCAGAUCCACUUGUUGAAGUACAUGCAGCUGUCAGACAAACACUGGUGAGUGCCAGAAUCAGGCCCGCUGGUGUCUGCUGCUGAAUUUGGGCUCACACUGAAUUUCCAUGACCUUGCUGUAACCGAGAGGCAAGCUAGGACAACAGCACCACACUUUUCCUGCUGAACAGUCAUUCUCUCCUAGCCUUUUCAGUCAUUUGAUCUCACAGCAACUCUACUCCAGGAAAGAACAUAACCAUAUUUUGAAGAUGACCCAAGAGCUUACUACAGGGAAAAUAGUGGUCUUUGUUUCACUGCCAGUUUCCAUCGGUGCCUUUCAAAAGUAGCAUGAUCUUACAGUUUGCUGACUGACCGAGGAUGUUUUCCUGCACAUCGUUUGUAGCUUUGAUGCUGCCCCAUUCAAAUAACUCCCAGGUCUUGCUAAGGAAAUCAAAGCACUGAGCAUGGGCUGAUCGGCCACGGAGUAUCUUCAGACAAAGAAUGGGAGCUAAUUGGGUACUUGAAAUGGGGAGCUGGCAGCUCACAGUCUUGAUGAUAUGUGGAUUUCAUGUCACUUGGUUCUCAGUGCUGAGCCGUUGCAGUGGUGUGCUCAGAAACAACUCAGGAGGCAGUUGCAGCUUCCAAGCGUACAAUUAAGAAGAAAUCCUACGUUCACUGGAAAGGAAGAUGACUUUGAAAAGACACUUCUGUCCCAGGAAUAAUACUGCUAAAUGUACAAAACUGAUGCAUGCUAGAAAGAAAAUUGUAGUGAUUACUUAGCUGGCUGACUUAAUAAAUGGUUGUUAGAAGAAAUGUG